rnacentral:rRNA from 1 species
AGCUCCAAUAGCGUAUAUUAAAGUUGUUGCAGUUAAAAAGCUCGUAGUUGGAUUUCUGGUGGGGCUGUCGGCCUGGCUCCGAAAGGGGUCGGCGCUUGUACACGCCUGGCCAUCCUCGGGGGAAGCUUUGCUGGCAUUAAGUUGUCGGCGGAGUGACGCUCGUCGUUUACUGUGAACAAAUUAGAGUGUUCAAAGCAGGCUUAGGCCGUUGAAUACAUUAGCAUGGAAUAAUGAGAUAGGACUUUGGUGGUCUAUUUUGUUGGUUUGCACGCCGAAGUAAUGAUUAAUAGGGGCGGUUGGGGGUAUUCGUAUUCAAUUGUCAGAGGUGAAAUUCUUGGAUUUAUGGAAGACGAACUACUGCGAAAGCAUUUACCAAGGAUGUUUUCA